ensembl:lncRNA
ACAUCAUCCUCUAGGAAGUGACAUCAUAUUGGAGGGUAAACCACAAUGGCAUUUCUUGGUUUGUCUGUGAACAAUAUAUCUGUCUGAUAAAGCCAUGUAAAUCGGUAUAAUUAUAUUUCAAAUGAACUUAAUGCUUGAAAUGCUGUAAACUCUUGUAUGUAAACUAACUCUAGUCAAUCAAUUAGCAAAGGCUAACCGUUAUUUCCACCCUGUUCGGAUGAUUUGUCUUUAUGUCAUAUGCAUGCAUAGCAUAUAAAAACGGCGUUUUGUCGAUAAAUUAGUUCUAAGAUAAGUUUAUUUUUAUUUUGUCCUAUCUCUGUAGCGCCAUACGCAGAUUGAGGCAGUACAACAAACUACCACUAGAGGGCAGAACAUGAUGCAUGUUGUGUCAAAACGUUACAUUUCUUUCUUUCUUUUUGCCUUUGGAUGCUUUUCUUCUUCGACAUCAGUGCAUCAUAAAGAAAGGAACAAAAGUUUGGCCUCUGGCUCCUGCAGGGCCCCCAAGCGAGCACUUUUUGGGGUUCACAGUGUGGUGACCUCUGAGGAGAUGCAGUAACGUCCUGAACUCUUCAGCAUCAAAGAGAUCUGCGGGGGGGCGGAGCUGAUACAGAACGCAUCACAAUGCCGGUCCACCUACACUCUCCCGCUCCUGUUCCUCACUUUCCUCAAGUAUGCGAAUAUGAAUGACUUCAGUCCUCUCCCUGUGACCUCUCUAUCACAUCACCUCUGGUACUUUAAUCCUUUUAGCUGAUGAUCACAGAUUUGAUUAAACUUUUUGUUUGUUUAAAUGUAUGGUUCACCUAAAAAUGUUCUGACAGUUUACUCACCCGCAGGCCACCCGAGAUGUAGAUAAGUUUGUUUCUUAAUGGGAAGAUUUGAAGAAAUCAGUCCAAACAGCUGAUAAAAACAUCACAGUAAUCCAGCCCAUCAGUUAACAUCUUGUGAAGUAAAAAUCUAUAUUUCUGCAAAAAACAAAUCCAUCAAGUUUUUUUUUUUUUUUUUCUUCGAACCAUUGCGUCUGGCCAAAAUACGAGUCCAUAUAAUUCAUAAUAAUGCUUCCUCCUGUGAAAAAGUCCAUCUCCUGUUGUCCUCUCACAUCAAAAUCCACCGACAUAACUGUUUUGGACUGUUUUCUCUUGUAAACAGUGCUUGAUAUGUGCUGAUUUCUCUCCUGAUUCAGAUGAGAUGCCUUUUCACUGGAGAAAGCAAUAUUAUGGAUAGAGGACUCAUAUUUUAGUCACAAGAUGUUAACUGAUGGACUGGAGUGGUGUGGAUUACUUGUGGAUUAUUGUUUUGUUUUUAUCAGCUGUUUGGACUCUCAUUCUGACGGCACCCAUUCACGGCAGAGGAUCCUUUGGUGAGCAAGUGAUGCAAUGCUACAUUUCUACAAAUAUGUUCCAGUGAAGAAACAAACUCAUCUAAGUCUUGGAUGGCCUGAGGUUGAGUUCAUUUCCAGAAAAUGUUCAUUUUGAAGGGAACUAUUCCUUUAUUUCAGCUUUGCAUCACAGGAAUAAAUUACAUUUUAAAAUAUAUUCA